UCCCAGGGCACAUAUGAAAAGAAUAUUUUUUCUGUUUGAUAAAUAUAUAUAUAUAUACCGUCAAUGCCAGGCGAACCAAUGGCAAAAUACGACAGCCGACUCUAAGCCUCGUCGACCAGUACUUGCUUUAAUUUCACGAACAAACGCGUUAGCUUGCUCGCAAAGUUGCGAUUGUUGAUCACACAGUCGCUUAACUGGGAGAGGCAAGUAAACAAAAGGGUUAUCUGCUUGAACGUGUUUUUAUAUGGCUGCCUGUCUUGACCUGAACUGACUUGACUUGUGUUUAAUGCCAUUACAGGACCACUAACUGCCUCCUUUUUCGAAGCUUUUUAGUCCUUUUACGUUGCACACUUCGGAAGUGCGGUCUCCGUUGCAAAUGUGUUGUUUCAUAACAAAGAGCCAACAAAUGGACAACCAUUGGGCACUAAGUCCUCCACCAAACCACACAUGACGAAAAUAGAUUAGACUAGUUUGGUUAUUUGGCAAUGCUUUGGAUGAUAAGUGGUAAUGGCAGGUUAGAUGCGUUGCAUACACGUGAAGUGUAAAGAAAUAUUUCUAACAACUAAAUGCUGCUGAAAUAGACUUCCAUCAUGUGGGACUUCAAAUUCUCUAUUUUGUUACUGUUUAAUUCGCACUUUGAAGCGCAUGGAGUAUCCAUGAGGCUUUUGUUGGAAGUUGGGAGAGAUAGUUUGCACUACCUGCUCUAGGCAGUAAGCAGUGACGCUUUGUGGUGUCCUAAAGAUCCCUCCCCUUUGUCAUGAUUUUCUUUUGGAUUUUCUUGUUCCUGUAAAAGUUGUAGCGGAUUAAAGGUAAAAAGUAGCUUAAAUUUUCUCUUUGGUGAAGGUCAAACAAUCUUGUAUUAGCUACUGUCAUGGCUUUGAACAGG